rnacentral:rRNA from 1 species
GCAGUCGACGAGAAAGCACCUUCGGGUGUGAGUAGAGUGGCGCACGGGUGAGUAACACGUAGGUGAUCUGCCUUUUGGUGGGGGAUAACCAGGAGAAAUUCUGGCUAAUACCGCAUAACCUGGACAACUUUGGAAGGAGUUCAGAAAAGAAUGCCUCUGCAUAUGCAUUCGCCGAUAGAUGAGCCUGCGCGACAUUAGCUUGAUGGUGGGGUAACGGCCUACCAUGGCUACGAUGUCUAGCGGAUUUGAGAGAAUGAUCCGCCACACUGGAACUGAGACACGGUCCAGACUCCUACGGGAGGCAGCAGUGGGGAAUAUUGCGCAAUGGGGGAAACCCUGACGCAGCAAUGCCGCGUGAGUGAGGAAGGCCCUCGGGUUGUAAAGCUCUGUCGGAUAGGAAGAACUGCCAUUGGUCCAAUAGGCCUUUGGUUUGACGGUACUAUCAAAGGAAGCACCGGCUAACUUCGUGCCAGCAGCCGCGGUAAUACGAAGGGUGCAAGCGUUGUUCGGAUUUACUGGGCGUAAAGCGCGCGCAGGCGGAUUGGUAAGUCAGAUGUGAAAUCUCGGGGCUCAACCCCGAAACUGCGUCUGAAACUAUCAAUCUAGAGUCUCGGAGAGGGAAGGGGAAUUUCGCAUGUAGGGGUAAAAUCCGUAGAGAUGCGAAGGAACACCAGAGGCGAAGGCGCCUUCCUGGACGAGUACUGACGCUGAGGCGCGAAAGCGUGGGGAGCAAACAGGAUUAGAUACCCUGGUAGUCCACGCCGUAAACGAUGAGCACUA